AGUGAACGCUGGCGGUAGGCCUAACACAUGCAAGUCGAACGGCAGCACAGUAAGAGCUUGCUCUUACGGGUGGCGAGUGGCGGACGGGUGAGGAAUACAUCGGAAUCUACUUUUUCGUGGGGGAUAACGUAGGGAAACUUACGCUAAUACCGCAUACGACCUACGGGUGAAAGCAGGGGAUCUUCGGACCUUGCGCGAUUGAAUGAGCCGAUGUCGGAUUAGCUAGUUGGCGGGGUAAAGGCCCACCAAGGCGACGAUCCGUAGCUGGUCUGAGAGGAUGAAUAGCCACACUGGAACUGAGACACGGUCCAGACUCCUACGGGAGGCAGCAGUGGGGAAUAUUGGACAAUGGGCGCAAGCCUGAUCCAGCCAUACCGCGUGGGUGAAGAAGGCCUUCGGGUUGUAAAGCCCUUUUGUUGGGAAAGAAAAGCAGCAGGUUAAUACCCCGCUGUUCUGACGGUACCCAAAGAAUAAGCACCGGCUAACUUCGUG
rnacentral:rRNA from 1 species